GUUGUACAUGUAGUUCAUCAUUGACCAAGACAUUGUGGCACAUGACUGUUUACGUAGAGUUCACUACUAUUUGCAGUUUCAAGCAUCUACUGUGUGUCUUGGAACAUAUUCCCCCAUGGAUAAAGAGUGACCGUCAUAUAUGUUAUAUGCUAAGCAAUCUUCUAAACCUCUUACAAAUAUUAACUGAUUGUUUAUAACAAAUCUGUGCAGCAGUUCUAUUAUUUCCAUUUUACAGAAGUAUAAUAAGGCUAGAAGCAUUCAGAGCGACACAUUCUGAAGAUACACUAUCUGAAAAGAGACAUGAGGAAAUUCCUGUGUCUCCAAAUGGCAGACUAAACUCACAAUGGGGCAUGACUUGUUAUCACCUGCUGGAAUGUUUCAAGUGGCCUGAUUUGACAAGGCAGAGAAUGGAACAGUGAUAUUGUUUGGCUCUGUCCCCACCCAAAUCUCAUCUUGAAUUCCCAUGUGUUGCGAGAGGAACCCAAAGGGAGGUAAUUGAAUCAUGAGGGCAGGUCUUGCCCCUGCUGUUCUCAUAACAGUGAAUAAGUCUCACG
rnacentral:lncRNA from 10 species